UGUCUCUCCUGGUUGGUUGGGUGGCAGGGAAGGGGUCGGGCCAAUGGGGUAUGACAGUGGAUCAUGUGCAAAUUGAAGAAGGAACAAAAGUGUCUCGUUUGUUUGCCUCUCUGUUCUCGGCAACAGUGGAAGAGUGAUUAGGCUCCUGUGGAUCGGGAAGAAAUUAUUCGGCGUGUCGAACAAAAGAUACGUUUUUCCCUCCAAACCUCUCCCAGAUCAAGAGCUCAGUGCCUCUUUCUCAACAGGAAAAGGUGAAAAAAACAACAUGGAGGAUACAGAGGAAUUGGCUGUAUCGCGAUAUCUGCCUUCUGUUGCUUCAGAGUUCCUCAAACUGCUCACAUGUGCACCUCUCCCUUGUCUACCCGCCCAGCUGCUGCCGAGCCUGGGAGGCUUCUGUGCGUCUCCCCGUGCUGGCUGGUCCCCUGGGAGGGAGGCGAGGCGGACUGACUGGCACCCAGUCUGCCAACCAGAUGAUGGAUCCUGCCAGGAAGGAUUGUGAUUUUGAUGGUGACAGGGAAGAGGUGGUGACGUGGGGUCUGGGCCAUGCACUGAACCUAAGGAUGAGGGGGCAUAAUGUGCAGAUGAGAGGAUCUGUGAGGGGCUUCUGGGAGGUGUGUGUGUAGUCUGUG
ensembl:lncRNA